rnacentral:rRNA from 1 species
GAUGAACGCUGGCGGCGUGCCUAAUACAUGCAAGUCGAGCGAACGGACGAGAAGCUUGCUUUUCUGAUGUUAGCGGCGGACGGGUGAGUAACACGUGGAUAACCUACCUAUAAGACUGGGAUAACUUCGGGAAACCGGAGCUAAUACCGGAUAAUAUUUUGAACCGCAUGGUUCAAAAGUGAAAGACGGUCUUGCUGUCACUUAUAGAUGGAUCCGCGCUGCAUUAGCUAGUUGGUAAGGUAACGGCUUACCAAGGCAACGAUGCAUAGCCGACCUGAGAGGGUGAUCGGGCACACUGGAACUGAGAAACGGUCCAGACUCCUACGGGAGGCAGCAGUAGGGAAUCUUCCGCAAUGGGCGAAAGCCUGACGGAGCAACGCCGCGUGAGUGAUGAAGGUCUUCGGAUCGUAAAACUCUGUUAUUAGGGAAGAACAUAUGUGUAAGUAACUGUGCACAUCUUGACGGUACCUAAUCAGAAAGCCACGGCUAACUACGUG